GAAAAAGUGUGGGAUUUCAAAGGAUCAAGCAAUCAAAGGUGGUGGGCCCUCUAACAAGGGUAGAGAAAUUGUGUCCGAAGAUCGGGAAUAGGAGUAUAUCGAACUCCUAGUACUGUGGUGGGCCCUCUAACAAGGGUAGAGAGAUUAUGCCCGAAGAUCGGGAAUAGGAGUAUAUCGAACUCCUAGUAUUUUUGCUGCAGCGAGCAAAUUCUGUGGACCGACCUAUUAGAGGGGCACAGAAUCCAGAUAUAUAUAUGUACCUCAGUUGGAGAGGCGCGUAGGGUAUCUCCUGAGGUAUGGACAGAGUUAACGUCACGCCGAACUACCCCGUGAUGAUGAACUCCGCUAACGUCAAGGAAUGGUUGUGUUUUUCAAACUAAAAAUAUG